UCAGCGGGGGGCACAGGCACGGAUGUUCUCAUUGAUCACCUGAGGGAGGCAGAGGGAAAGGCAGACAAGCACCAUGUUUGCUGGAUUCAGAGAGACAGGAACUGUACUGCAGUUCCCUGAAACCCACAACAUUCGGAGCCUCAGUGUUCAGAAAGUCCAUCAGGGCUUUCUUUUCAGGACAUCCAAAAUUCAAUCACAAACUAAAGGACAAGUGAAUACUAGGAAAAUAAAAUACAUUGAUUUGUUUCCAAAAUAAGAAUAUCGUUUAUUUGUUGAUCAACACUUGAAGGAAAAUUAAGUAAAAAAGAAUGGGAAGAAGAACCAAGAGCCUUGUGGAUAAACAAGCUUGUUCAAUAUACGGCCCUGCAUUAUUGAGUGACUGUGGAUUGCCUGAUUCGUCUUUUGGUUUCUUGACUUCCUUUGCCUUGGAUUUUCUAACUCCAGUGUUAAUUGGUGGUGUUUUUUUCUGUUUGAGUUUUAAACAAUUUUCUACCAAUCACUUCAGAUACACAAUAAUCACUGAGAUAGCAAAGAGAGAAAUGCGUGUUAACAUGAUGAGAACAACCUGAAGUAAGGUGGGCACCCUUGCUUUUAGCGGUCCCGGUGGCCCACUGUCAACACUUCCUCCAUACCCUACCUCCUCACAGAAAGGAGGGGCCCAGCCAUACAAGCAGUGGCAGUUUUUUUUAUUGUUGCAAAUGCCCCGGUGGUUGCACUUCUCAGGCAAACAGUCAAACUGCAGCAAUGAGCUAUCCACACAGGUUCUGUUAACACAUAUCCGAUUCGUACCACAGGAGGUACCAUCAUUUACCACACCAAUGUCAGGUAUCCCCAAGGGUACCUUGGAUAGAUGAUAGCCUGUGCCCCAGCACAUGAGGUUUUCCUCUCCCAAAUGAGUAGAAAUGAUAGUAGUAUGUUCUGGCAUUUCAGGGAUGGUUUUGACAUUGAUACACUGUAGCCUGCCACAUACUGCAUUUUCCCUAGUACACUUUUGAUAGUCACCAAUUCCUCUAAUACCACAGUUCCCAUGUUGAUCACCAAUUAAAUUAACUGCAUCAUAGCACUUACUGGGAGCCUCCCUGGCAUCAGGUCCAAAAAGCCUUUGGCACUGCAUAUAUCUGGAUUGGCACCCCUUUCUGAAACAACGGGCUUCGUACUUGCAAGGGGUUCCAUCCUGCUUAUAAGUGUCACUUGGGCAGAGACCUGAGGUCCCAGUGCAGUACUCUGCAAGGUCACAUUCAUUUUCUUCCUUCCGACACACAUACCCAGAGGGACGAAAGUGACACUUAUGACAGCAAAGUCCCAUGCUACAAUUGACACCAUGUUUCAAUUUACAAUCUGGUUGACAACACUGGUCUUUUUUACAGUCCUCUCUUGAACCACAAUCACAUUCCUCAUUCUCUUCCACAAUUUUGUUUCCACAUCUCUGAACCACAUAGCCUACUUCUGGGAUGUCAGUUAGACACGCUCCUGCUGAGUGUAUGAAAGCAAUAUAAUAGGAAUAACUACAAUUACUAAACCCAGUUCGCCCAGUGCCCAUGAUGCAACUACGCCUGCCCUUACAUUGACAGUAUUCAUAAUCAUGGGACAUUCCCACACCAUGGCCAAGGCAAUGAGCACUCCAGGUGGCAGGUCCAAGGACAUUUAUAUCUGGAAAGACACUUAUAGCUCCACUGUAUGUCUGACUACACACUCUUCCAAAGGACUGUCCAAGGUAAUCGACAUAUUGUCCUUUAAGGUAUAGGUGUGCCCAAUCUGCCGGGAUCCGGGCAUUUAGGGUCCUGCGUCUGUACAGCAAAAAUUGGCUUAAAACCUGCUGUGUCGUUGGAGAAUCAACCUUCAUUUUGUUUGCAUCUGUCCAAACUUCAAUACCUCUCAGAUGUAUUCUCAUAUUGAUAUCUUGGAAGUAAGUGUCCAUAAUCCCAGUCAUAAGAAUGGCAUCAUUUAUGACUCGAGUAAGAUUGGAAUUGGAGUACAAAUAUCUACGAUGAUCAAAGACCAGGGCUAAUUCAAGGUACUUUUUGUGUUUAUAGGAGUCAGAAAAGUCCCUAAGCCGAGCCACAUUCUCAUGCUGGGCCAUCUGCCGUUUUAUUUCAUCAUCAAGUAAGCCACAGGACUGAUUGUGAAAUUCCUCUUCUUUCUUCAGAAGAUAUAUGACAUGUUCAAAACUGGAAGAGGCCUUGAGGGGCUCGAUUUGGUAAUGUUUGGCAUCAAUUUUCAAUAUGCCUUGGAGACCCCCCAGGCAUGUACUUAGGGUAGCUUCAGAAUCCCGGGUUCCUUCAAUGAAACCCAUAUAGUUGCAGUCCCCCGGUAUGUAAGGGUAAUCCUCCAGGAGAUCGCCCUCUUCUGUGAAGGAGAAAACCUGCAGAUUUCGGGACAAUAGUAACCUCUUGGGCCACAGGUGGAGGACAUGCUCCUUGCCUUUUACCUGCAGGAGGUAGGACACGUGCUUGGCCACAGCCUCCUCCCCUCCCCGUGAACUCAGCUUCUUGGGGAUGAUGAUUUCAUACGAGUCAAACCCCCACUCAGGGUGAAAAAUUAAAUCCUCGCCGAGAGAGUCAACCAGGAGCAGCCCCAGGACUAGGAUCAGGAUGGAGAGCGAACGGCCUUGGGAGAGUAAGGUCCUCACUGACCUCAUGGCGCAGCUCCGUCCUUUAGGGAGUCAGUCCCUGCCGCUGCGGCCUUGCGAGUCAGACUUCCAGGGGCCGCCACUAGAGGCGCCGGAGCGCAAAGUGCGGAGCUCCCAGAGCAGGGCGGGCGGGAGCUCCAGCCUCCCGGGCUCGGCCCAGCUGACAUUUCCCGGAACCAUACCUAGACCGUUUUCUGGGCGGCGCCGUUGGGCGCACGUGGAAGAAACGAGGGAAACGUGCGCGCGAAUAAAAGAGAAAAGAGAGGCUAUUGGCACGAGGGAUGGAAAAGGGCAGAGAGCGGCUGGGAAAAGCAGGCAUAGGGAAUAGGAAGAACAGAGAACCUGUUGAAGGCUCACUAUGCCUGUGCCGUUUAGUCUUGUUUCUGUGGCCCGAGUGCAUACCUGAUGUUUUCCAUCGGUUGGAAUGGGAUGUUUUAUGGGCCACUGUGCCCACCUCACCACUCCGUUGCCAGUUUUCCCCUGGGCUCGCCUGAGGCGGAGGGAAGGAGCGCCACGGAGCCGGCAAGAGCAGCAGCAGAGCUGAGAACAUCAGUGCAGAGUCUACAUUCCAGCCCCGUCUCGGGCAGCGCCUGAAUUCAGGUUGAAGAUAUUUUGCUAUAAUUAUCCUGGACAACACAAGAAUCACAGACCUUAUGAGGAGAAAGAGGCGAAUAAACAGAAACAACAGUGUGCAGCCCAGGCCUUGGUAAAGUACUUACAUGAAACACCUACAUGGAAUUUUGAAGCCACCCUUCUGCACAGCUGUCCCUUCUUUGCUGGAUGGAGGGGGCAUGUGGCCAGGAAUGUGGGUAGCUUCUAGGAGCUAAGAGAGGCCCCAAGCUGAUGGCCAGCAGGAAAAUGGAGACCUCAGUCCUACAGUCAAAAGGAACUGAACUCAGCUGACAACUUGAAUAAACUUGGGAGUGAAUUCUUUCCCAGAAGCUCCAGAAAGUAACAACACCUGGAUGAAAACUUAAUUUCAGCCUGCGAGACCUAAGCAGAGGAUCUAGCUAAACUGUGCCUGGACUUCUGACCUACAGAAACUGUGAGAUAAUAAACAGAUGUUGUCUUAGGCCUCUAAGUUUGUGAUAAUUUGUGAUGCAGCAAUAGCAAAUGAAGCAAAUAUGAACUGGAAAAGACCUUGGAGUGAUGACAAGUACUACAGCGUGAGGAAUGGAUGCCUGUGUACUGACUAGGCUGAAUUGGGUCUAUUACUUACUCAUCUAAUUAGCUAUGAUCUGUUAAGACGAGUAGCUAUACAAAGAUACUGAUCCUGUGGGAGAAGGGAUUGCAUGGUACAGAGUAGAAAAAAUCAUUUUGAAUUUAGCAUCACUGUAUCAUACCGCAG
rnacentral:lncRNA from 1 species